GUGGGGAAUAUUGCGCAAUGGGGGAAACCCUGACGCAGCAAUACCGCGUGAGUGAAGAAGGUUUUCGGAUCGUAAAACUCUUUUAUUGGGGAAGAAGAAGUGACGGUACCCAAUGAAGAAGUCCCGGCUAACUACGUGCCAGCAGCCGCGGUAAUACGUAGGGGACAAGCGUUGUCCGGAAUCACUGGGCGUAAAGGGCGCGUAGGCGGUUUUAUAAGUCAGAUGUGAAAGGUACCGGCUCAACCGGUGACGUGCAUUUGAAACUGUAAGACUUGAGUACUGGAGAGGCAAGUGGAAUUCCUAGUGUAGCGGUGAAAUGCGUAGAUAUUAGGAGGAACACCGGUGGCGAAGGCGGCUUGCUGGACAGAUACUGACGCUGAGGUGCGAAAGCGUGGGGAGCGAACAGGAUUAGAUACCCGUGUAGUCC
rnacentral:rRNA from 1 species